rnacentral:misc_RNA from 1 species
UCGAAGCCUAGAAAGCACGACCGAGAAUGAGUUGCUAAUCGCAGCAACGGGAAACCGCUUGCUGCAAUUCUGCUUUGCGGAGGGCUGCGUGCCUAACACAUUGUGGAAAUAACGAACCCCGGCGCGGAUAGCGCCAAGGAAUUAAAACGAAAGAACUUGUCCCUUUGCCUGUUUAUCGGGUGUUAAGGAGAAGUUUGUUCAUUAAAACCAUAACGACUCUCGGCAACGGAUAUCUCGGCUCUCGCAUCGAUGAAGAACGUAGCGAAAUGCGAUACUUGGUGUGAAUUGCAGAAUCCCGUGAAUCAUCGAGUCUUUGAACGCAAGUUGCGCCCGAAGCCAUUAGGCUGAGGGCACGUCUGCCUGGGCGUCACGCAAUGUGAUGCCCCCAACCUUAGUGUUGGGGGCGUAGCUUGGCCUCCCGUGAGAUCCAAUUCGCGGAUGGCUUAAAAACGAGCCUCGGGAUGUUUACAUCGCGACAAGUGGUGGUUCAAGGCCCAGCCUUUAACGUUAGCCAGUCGCGACGAUCAUACCUUGUUUGCUCAUAAACCUCUAGGCUUGUUUUUGACAAUGCCAUCAUC